AUUAAUUAGUGAAAUUGAAUGAAUCCUCUUUCGGAUUCUACAAAACAUAAAGUCGCAUGGAAAACCAAACAACUAUUGAUUUUUAAAGAAUAACAAAUAAUUAUCGGGGAUGCACUGGAGGAGGGCAGGAAGGUGGAAGAUGACGAGGACCACAGCAGAUACUGCGCAGAAAAGAUAAUGGAAAGAGACGCCGUGUGACAUCAACUCAAGAAAUUGUUCCUUCGAAGCGACCACCGCUUCAUCGCGAACCGGUUCUUAAUCGCGCUAGAUGAUACGGAUCAUUA
rnacentral:lncRNA from 1 species